rnacentral:rRNA from 1 species
GACGAACGCUGGCGGCGUGCCUAAUACAUGCAAGUCGAACGCUGAAGAGAGGGGCUUGCUCUUCUUGGAUGAGUUGCAAACGGGUGAGUAACGCGUAGGUAACCUGCCUUGUAGCGGGGGAUAACUAUUGGAACCGAUAGCUAAUACCGCAUAACAAUGGAUGAAACAUGUCAUUUAUUUGAAAGGGGCAAUUGCUCCACUCCAAGAUGGACUUGCGUUGUAUUAGCUAGUAGGUGAGGUAAUGGCUCACCUAGGCGACGAUACAUAGCCGACCUGGGAGGGUGAUCGGCCACACUGGGACUGAGACACGGCCCAGACUCCUACGGGAGGCAGCAGUAGGGAAUCUUCGGCAAUGGGGGCAACCCUGACCGAGCAACGCCGCGUGAGUGAAGGAGGUUUUCGGAUCGUAAAGCUCUGUUGUAAGUGAAGAACGGGUGUGAGAGUGGAAAGUUCACACUGUGACGGUAGCUUAACAGAAAGGGACGGCUAACUACGUG